UCAUUGAGUUCAAAGGCAAGAGAGCACACAGAUAUGCAUAUCUUGGUUUGGAUUACAACAAAGCUUCACCUGUGAGGCCAUUUGAAAAUGCGUGGGCUUGCACUACAGGGGAGCUGAGAGAAAACACCUAAAUGGUUACUACCAUCAGAAGCAUCAGCAUGAAACUCACCUUGUCAGUCUGUGGCAGCCUGGAUCUGGGAGACCUUGCAAUGUCAGCUUGCUGCCAAUGGGAAUAAAGAAGUAUUCUUGCGUUUUUGUAGCAGCCAAGCUGUUACAGGAACAAGGAACGUGAAUGGAACCAAAAUGAGGUAAUGUCACUUCUAAUGAACCUGUGGUCGACAUUGCAACAGAAGGCAUUUAAAAAAGGGAAAACAGGAAAGCCUUGAUCCUGAGCUGAAGAUUUCCGCAGUAUGAGCAACAAGGCAAGGUAGCUGAUUACAUCUGAAAUGACUAGGAAACAACAGCUAAAUACUGAAUUAGUAGAUACUGUAAUUACAGCAGUUGAAAACUUGUUGUUCUGAUUUCAAAGAAAAAUAAGAAAUUCUGAAUAGAAAAUAGAUCUGCUUCAGCUGGUUGGUUUUUGGUUUUGUUUUGCUUUGUUUUGUUUUGUUUGUUUGUUUUUUAGUUAAACGUAGGCCUGAAAAUACUGUUUCAAGGUAACUGGAAGCAUUUAAUUGGGCUGAAAUGAAUGCAAAGUUCACUUCCAGUCAUUGUCAUGACUAAAUCAGAUGCUAACUUCUAGCUUGCUCAAAGCAAAGAAAGUAUAAUAAAUGCCAUGUUUACUCACACAGGACAAAGAAAUAAGGUGUGGUUUUCCAGGUAAGUACAAUCAGUAUUACUGUUGCAGCUGUUAAUAACAUUAGAUAUGAUUACAACCUGAUUGAAGGAAGACAUCUUCUUAACUCACAGUUAACAAAGAGACCAGUUCUUUUGAAGAUCCUCUCUUGGCAAAGUCAUACCUGGAGAAGCACUGCCAAAUCCAGGGUCCUUAAUAAAGAACGUGACAUAUUUGUUGGUACAUUGUUUUUUUUUCCCAGAUGAACUGCAUUUCAGGUCUCUUUUACAGCUAAAGUUUAACUAUCCUUGCAGCAAAGCAGCUUUUCAAGCAAUCUUGUUGGAAGAGAUCGGGGGUGGGAGAAAGUAGUUUAAAAAUUAAUAGAGGUGCUUUUUUCUUAAUUGAACUAUAAAUACUAUUUUAAUGGGUAUUUUGUUAUAUGAAAAUAUAGUCA